UGGGGAAUAUUGCACAAUGGAGGAAACUCUGAUGCAGCAACGCCGCGUGGAGGAUGACACAUUUCGGUGCGUAAACUCCUUUUAUAUGGGAAGAUAAUGACGGUACCAUAUGAAUAAGCACCGGCUAACUCCGUGCCAGCAGCCGCGGUAAUACGGAGGGUGCAAGCGUUACUCGGAAUCACUGGGCGUAAAGCGCGCGCAGGCGGGCUGAUAAGUUGGAUGUGAAAGCCUACGGCUUAACCGUAGAACUGCAUCCAAAACUGUCAGUCUAGAGUCUGGGAGGGGAAGAUGGAAUUAGUUGUGUAGGGGUAAAAUCCGUAGAGAUAACUAGGAAUACCAAAAGCGAAGGCGAUCUUCUGGAACAGUACUGACGCUGAGGCGCGAAAGCGUGGGGAGCAAACA
rnacentral:rRNA from 1 species